rnacentral:rRNA from 1 species
UUGGUCAUAUAGAGGAAAGUAAAAGUCGUUACUAGGNCUCCAGUAGGUGAUCCUGCGGAUGGAUCAUUA